AAAUUGCAUCAAUUCAUGGAGACAAACCCUACAUAAAUAGCAAAACACACAAAUAGCAAAACACAGCGCAACUUUUAUCGUGAAAUCAAUUAUUGACAAAAGUAUAUCAAGCCCCACAUGGGUAAUGUCUUUCGCAUGAUGAUAACUGGCCUUCUCUCCGACAAACAACGGCAAGAACAUGCAAGACUGUUGUCUUUCUCGUUUGGCCUCCAUCAACAUUCAUAUACAACAACGAAAUGUCGCCAUGGUCUUCCACGAAGCACCCAUUAUCAUUCCUCCAAUUUGAUUGAUGUGCAUAUAUUGCACUCAAGUUUCAGCAAAUACUUGGGAGUUAUUUCAAGUUUGGCAUGCUAGAGUAAGCCCUAAGACAAAAACAAUCUACUCUGUUUUGGAAGCCCUGUUUCGAAGCAUGAAGCGCAAGGUAUGCACAGCCUUUCUCCCACAAUUAAGAAAUCAAUCAUCUAAUUUUUUGUAUAAUCCUUACUCAAUUAUGUUUCUUUGGCAUGGAAUAAGAAUUGGGCUAUGGGAAGGAAAUUUCGAAUACAUGAAGUUUCAAAUUCUUGAUGAGCAAGAUGCCGGUCCCCCCCUUGUUUGCCGCGUAUUGUAGGAAUUGCAAUUGAGGCAUUUGUGAGCAACGAUGUGGAAGUGGACCUCCGAGGUGACUCCACAGUCAUUACAAAGGAUCCACACCUGAUGGUUGAAUUCAACACAAUUAGCUCAUACUCCAAUACACGAAUCAGUCAAGGUUAGUUGAAGUAAAUACUUAGGGCGUAUAUUAUAGCUCAGUUAGACUCUUAUAUAAUCCAUAUGGUACUAAAAGCUGCAUCCACUGUCCAUCUUACUGAUAGAUGGUUGGAGAUUAACCAUAACUAGGUGAAUGUUCUUGUGGGCCGCAGCACGGUCAAUCUUCCAUCAUCCAAUAGUAAGAGAGAACAGUGUAGUGCCACCGAAAUAAUAUCAUAUACUAUGGACCAUUGGAGUAGAAAUCCUUCACAACUCUUACUUACCAUCUUGUUUUGGUAUAUCGUAGGCAUGGGUGUGGCUGCAACCUGAAAUACAAUUCCAUGGAAGGUCUUUAGCAUAUGAGAAUCUGGUCUUUAGAGAAUUCAAGAUACAAAGUUAAAUGGAUCAUAGGCAAAGCUCUUUAGCAUAUGAGAAUCUGGUCUUUAGAGAAUUCAAGAUACAAAGUUACAUGGACCAUAGGCAUACCUCC
rnacentral:lncRNA from 1 species